AAGAAUGCUAGAGUGAUGUUGGACUGAAAAUAAGCGGUUUCCAGCUGUACAGGUUAAAGUUAAUGAUAGACUAAAAUUAAGAUUAGGAUUAAAGAUGUUUAAAGAAAUGGAAAUCUGACAAUUAAGAGGGAAAAUUUUAACGUUAUAUUAUACUAAGAUUAAAGAUCAGGUUUAAAGAAAUUGAAGAUAUAUAUUACAAUAUUAUAUUAAAGUUAAAGAUUGGGAUUAAAAAAGUUGAAAAGAAAUUGCUGGACAAACAAUUUGGAUUGGAAUACAAAAGAGGGAGGUAUGAGGAAGUCCAGAAAAUAAGUAAACUAAAAAACGGAAAUGGAAAAGAGAUAUUGUUUUUAAUUGUUAUGUUUUUUGUUUUUUAUUGUUGAAUUGUGUUCUUUUUUGUGUGUUCUUGUUAUCUUUUUUUCUUCUUUAGAGAUAUGUAUUGUGUAUGUUUUUCUUUUCUUUCUUUGUUGUUCAAAACUUAAAUAAAAAUUAUU